UGGGGAAUAUUGCACAAUGGGCGAAAGCCUGAUGCAGCAACGCCGCGUGAAGGAUGAAGGUCUUCGGAUUGUAAACUUUGUACUUGGGGACGAUAAUGACGGUACCCAAGCAGCAAGCUCCGGCUAACUACGUGCCAGCAGCCGCGGUAAUACGUAGGGAGCAAGCGUUGUCCGGAUUUACUGGGUGUAAAGGGUGCGUAGGCGGCCAUACAAGUCAGUUGUGAAAACUAUGGGCUCAACCCAUAGCCUGCAAUUGAAACUGCGUGGCUUGAGUGAAGUAGAGGUAGGUGGAAUUCCCGGUGUAGCGGUGAAAUGCGUAGAGAUCGGGAGGAACACCAGUGGCGAAGGCGACCUACUGGGCUUUAACUGACGCUGAGGCACGAAAGCAUGGGUAGCAAACAGGAUUAGAUACCCUGGUAGUCCAUGCCGUAAACGAUGAUUACUAGGUGUGGGGGUCUGA
rnacentral:rRNA from 1 species